AGAAGCUUUGAGAGGGGAUAAAACCGUUAUCACAUGGAGGAUGGACAUAUGGCUACUAUCCAGUUUCCAGUUCAGUUCGGUUUUACAGUUUUCGGUUCUGCUGGUCUUUGGAUCGCUAUGGAAAGAGGAAUAGUUAUGGAGUGCUACACCUUAUAUACUGGGUGCUGUUUGGUAGCACUGUUACUAUGCAAUGUUAUUUUACUCUUUUGUAUACAUCUCUCUUUUUGCUGCUGAGGG